AUUGCCUUAGUAACUGCGAGUGAAGCGGCAAGAGCUCAAAUUUGAAAUCUGGCACCUUCGGUGUCCGAGUUGUAAUUUGUAGAAGCAUCUUUUGGAUUGGUCCUUGCAUAUGUUCCUUGGAACAGGACAUCAUAGAGGGUGAGAAUCCCGUUCAUGGUGGGGAAUCCAAUUCUUUGUAAAGUGCUUUCGAAGAGUCGAGUUGUUUGGGAAUGCAGCUCUAAGUGGGUGGUAAAUUCCAUCUAAAGCUAAAUAUUGGCGAGAGACCGAUAGCGAACAAGUACAGUGAUGGAAAGAUGAAAAGAACUCCGAAAGGAGAGUGAAAAAGGACGUGAAAUUGUUGAAAGGGAAGUGCUUGAGAUCAGUCUUAAGGUUUAGUGAUCAGUCUUCCUUUUGGUUGGUGCACUCACUAUUUCUUAGGCCAACAUCAGUUUUGGCGGCAGGAUAAUGACAUUGGAAUGUGGCUCUUUCGGGAGUGUUAUAGCCUUUGUUGAUACUGCCUGCUUAGACUGAGGACUGCGCUUUUGCUAGGAUGUUGGCAUAAUGAUCUUAAGCAGCCCGUCUUGAAACACG
rnacentral:rRNA from 1 species